AUUUAGAGAAGGCCAACAGUAUUUUUUCCAGAGCGUGUGAAAGUGACUUUUCGUAAAGGACCAUUAGGCUUUUUUGCACCAAGACCCAUCUAAUGAAGCAAAAAUACUAAAAGACAACCCAAGGUUGAGGGACAAGUCUGCCCCACUGAAGUAAGAGACUGUCAGAAAAAAUGCCAUCAGGAUUGUCUUGGAAAGGGGGGGUGAUGCCACUGACAAAGUGGAGGUACUUGGGGAAUAUGUUCUCCAGUUUGGAAAGUAUAAAGGCAAGUCUUUUAGGUGGCUUCUUGAAAAUGAUGUAGGAUAUGCAGUCUACAUCAUUCAAAAUAUCCAGAAGGAAAGAGGCACGGGAGUCUUUUUUGAAGGUGGAAACAGCUAGGACAGUCUUUUGUCAUUUGAGGAAUAUGCACUCUGAUUUCAGGAGAUAAAGUCUCUUCUGGAUUAUGAAGUAGACUGACCAACUCUUCUAGCAUCUUCAGAAGAUGAAAACCUUGUUGGUUUUGGUGUGAGAGGGAAGAGCACCUGUAAGGAAAUCUGGGAGGGCAGGGCAGAUGGUUAUGCAGCUUUAAUCAUGGCACAAAAAUGUACAGAAGGUACAAAAAUGCACCGUUUACAAAAGUACCUGUUGAGGAAAAGCCAGGCUGUGGUCACACCAUCUUCAACUACUCAGUCUACUGAAUCUUUGCCAUCCAAUCCAAGUGAACUGUCUGGAAUGGAUGAUGAUGAAGAAUUGGAGAAGGCAAUGCUGAACAUACCACCUUCAUUAUUCCAGACCCAAUAAGCUGAACCACAACUCCUGGGGCUACCAACAUCAGUAGAAACAGGUUUUUCUGCAUAAAUUCAGAUCUGAAGACCAAAAGAUGAAUUUAUCCAUUC